rnacentral:lncRNA from 1 species
GCCUCACGGCGGCCGCGGUGUGGGAGGAAGGGGCGCAGCGGCGUUUCCUUCCUCACGGCGGGGCCCGGGCGGCGCGCAGCGGCCGAGCUCAGCACCCCCCCGCCUCGCCGCGGUGGUUCUGAGGCGGAUCGAGGCUUUUCAGCCCGGGAAGCUCAACCCCCGGUGUUGGCUCCUGUGGGGCUGGGGUCCGAAGCGAGCUGACAAUAAGCACCAUGAGGUUUCUCCACGUCCCCGUGCUGGCUGGUGUCGCUGGUUGCUCCGGAAGGGACCGCGGGGCUGUACCAAUCUCCGUCCCUUCCCGUCAAAGAGAAAGCUAAGACCUCCCUCAGGUUGUUUUUUAACCAUCAUAUAUUUAUAGUUUUUACUGCCCUUAACACCUCUGCUUGGCGUGGUUUCUGAUUGUAAUCCUGUGUGCUCGCACUGUUGGUUCAGAGCUGUUAAUCUGAGCUACCUUCCACUGCUUCCUUCUUGUUUCAGGUCAAAUACAGCUUAAACUUUAUCCAAA